rnacentral:rRNA from 1 species
UACGAAGGGGGCUAGCGUUGCUCGGAAUCACUGGGCGUAAAGGGUGCGUAGGCGGGUCUUUAAGUCAGGGGUGAAAUCCUGGAGCUCAACUCCAGAACUGCCUUUGAUACUGAAGAUCUUGAGUUCGGGAGAGGUGAGUGGAACUGCGAGUGUAGAGGUGAAAUUCGUAGAUAUUCGCAAGAACACCAGUGGCGAAGGCGGCUCACUGGCCCGAUACUGACGCUGAGGCACGGAAAAGCGUGGGGAGCAAACA